GGUGGCUCAAUGGUAGAGUGCUUGCCUUGCAUGCAUGAGGCUCUGGGUUUGAUUCCUCAGCACCA
rnacentral:tRNA from 1 species